rnacentral:rRNA from 1 species
AAUGAGAGUAGCGCGACUGGUGAGUAACACGUGGGAACAUGCCUUUUAGUGGGGGACAACAGUUGGAAACGACUGCUAAUACCGCAUAAGCCCGGAAGGGGAAAGAUUAAUUGCCGAAAGAUUGGCCCGCGGAAGAUUAGGUAGUUGGUGGGGUAAAGGCCUACCAAGCCGACGAUCUAUAGCUGGUCUGAGAGGACGAACAGCCACAUUGGAACUGAGACACGGUCCAGACUCCUACGGGAGGCAGCAGUGAGGAAUAUUGGGCAAUGGAGGCAACUCUGACCCAGCCAUGCCGCGUGAGUGAAGAAGGUUUUCGAAUUGUAAAGCUCUUUCGGGUGUGACGAUGAUGACGGUAACACCUAAAGAAGCCCCGGCAAACUUCGUGCCAGCCGCCGC